UCUACCUACAGAAGCUAGUCAAAGAAGGUCCUCUUGAUAAUUGUCCUUUAAUCAUAAUUAUUCUUUGUUUCCAGAGAACGGGGGAAGAAGGAGGAGAAGAAGAAGAAGAGAGAGAUCAGAAACUCUUGCUUGCUUGAGAGAAAACAAGUGGAAGGUUUUGCUUGCUAUUACUGUUCCUGAUUCAAGUGAUCUAUCUGUCAAAAGAUUUGUGUUUCAGGUGUAUCUCUUAUUUCUUCUUCAUUCUACAACUGUAAAAUUAAGAUUGAGAAAGUAAAGUUUUUGUUGUGUUUGUUUUUUACUGUUCACUUUUGAUCUGUGAAUUUGGAUAUGGUUCAUUCUAUAACAAGUAAUGCCUUUUAUGACUGAAUUUUAUAUUUCUGCAUACAUUCCUGUAAUCUCUAGAAUUUUUUGGUGACUACAAGUUCUUGAAUAUGUUACUUCACCGCGACUCCAAUUCUCAUUGUUUUGAUGAUGUUUUGUUGCAGAGCAGCACUUGCUAUGUUCAAUGAUGAUGAAAAGAAAGGCUUAUUAACUCCUGGAGUGAAAACUCUGAUAGAUCCAACAUCAGGAAACAUGAGAAUCAACAUGGCUUUUAUGGCCGCAAUGAAAGGGUACAAGAUGGUUUUGACCAUGCCGUCUUACACAAGCUUGGAGAGAAGAUUGUGUAUGAGAGCCUUAGGAGCUGAGUUGAUUCUCACUGAACCUCCAAAAGGGAUGGGAGGAACUGUCAAGAAGGCUUAUGACCUUUUAGAAUCCACUCCAAAUGCCCUUAUGCUCCAACAAUUCUCAAACCUUGCCAAU